GACGAACGCUGGCGGCGUGCUUAACACAUGCAAGUCGAACGGAAAGGCCCCUUUGGGGGUACUCGAGUGGCGAACGGGUGAGUAACACGUGAGUAACCUGCCCUUGACUUCGGGAUAAAUUCAGGAAACUGGGGCGAAUACCGGGUAGGAAUCCUUGCUGCAUGGGGGGGGUUGGAAAGCUUCGGCGGUUUUGGAUGGACUCGCGGCGUAUCGGCUUGGUGGUGGGGUAGUGGCGUACCAAGGCAUUGACGGGCAGCCGGCCUGAGAGGGUGACCGGCCACAUUGGGACUGAGAUACGCCCCAGACUCCUACGGGGGGCAGUGGUGGGGAAUCUUGCACAAUGGGCGGCAGCCUGAUGCAGCAACGCCCCGUGCGGGAUUACGGCCUUCGGGUUGUAAACCGCGUUCAGCAGGGGCGAAGCUUGUGGUGACGGUACCGGCAGAAGAAGCACCGGCUAACUACGUG
rnacentral:rRNA from 1 species